UGGGAGCUUUCCAUGCAAGUCGAACGGCAGCACGAGAGAGCUUGCUCUCUUGGUGGCGAGUGGCGGACGGGUGAGUAAUAUAUCGGAACGUGCCCAGUAGCGGGGGAUAACUACUCGAAAGAGUGGCUAAUACCGCAUACGCCCUACGGGGGAAAGGGGGGGAUCGCAAGACCUCUCACUAUUGGAGCGGCCGAUAUCGGAUUAGCUAGUUGGUGGGGUAAAGGCUCACCAAGGCAACGAUCCGUAGCUGGUUUGAGAGGACGACCAGCCACACUGGGACUGAGACACGGCCCAGACUCCUACGGGAGGCAGCAGUGGGGAAUUUUGGACAAUGGGGGAAACCCUGAUCCAGCCAUCCCGCGUGUAUGAUGAAGGCCUUCGGGUUGUAAAGUACUUUUGGCAGAGAAGAAAAGGCAUCCCCUAAUACGGGAUGCUGCUGACGGUAUCUGCAGAAUAAGCACCGGCUAACUACGUGCCAGCAGCCGCGGUAAUACGUAGGGUGCAAGCGUUAAUCGGAAUUACUGGGCGUAAAGCGUGUGUAGGCGGUUCGGAAAGAAAGAUGUGAAAUCCCAGGGCUCAACCUUGGAACUGCAUUUUUAACUGCCGAGCUAGAGUAUGUCAGAGGGGGGUAGAAUUCCACGUGUAGCAGUGAAAUGCGUAGAUAUGUGGAGGAAUACCGAUGGCGAAGGCAGCCCCCUGGGAUAAUACUGACGCUCAGACACGAAAGCGUGGGGAGCAGACAGGAUUAGAUACCCUGGUAGUCCACGCCCUAAUCGAUGUCAACUUAGCUGUUGGGGCCGUUAGGCCUUACUAGCGCAGCUAACCGCGUGAAGUUGACCGCCUGGUGGAGUACUGGUCGGCAAGGAGUAAAACUCUAAGAUAUUUGUCGGUGGAUCCGCAACAAGGCGGCUGGCAUGACGUGUGGAUUUACAA
rnacentral:rRNA from 2 species